rnacentral:rRNA from 1 species
UACGUAGGGUGCGAGCGUUAAUCGGAAUUACUGGGCGUAAAGCGUGCGCAGGCGGUUAUGUAGGACAGUUGUGAAAUCCCCGGGCUCAACCUGGGAAUUGCAUCUGUGACUGCAUAGCUAGAGUACGGUAGAGGGGGAUGGAAUUCCGCGUGUAGGCAGUGAAAUGCGUAGAUAUGCGGAGGAACACCGAUGGCGAAGGCAAUCCCCUGGACCUGGUACUGACGCUCAUGCACGAAAGCGUGGGGAGCAAAC